GACGAACGCUGGCGGCGUGCUUAACACAUGCAAGUCGAACGGAAAGGCCCUGCUUUUGUGGGGUGCUCGAGUGGCGAACGGGUGAGUAACACGUGAGUAACCUGCCCUUGACUUUGGGAUAACUUCAGGAAACUGGGGCUAAUACCGGAUAGGAGCUCCUUCUGCAUGGUGGGGGUUGGAAAGUUUCGGCGGUUGGGGAUGGACUCGCGGCUUAUCAGCUUGUUGGUGGGGUAGUGGCUUACCAAGGCUUUGACGGGUAGCCGGCCUGAGAGGGUGACCGGCCACAGUGGGACUGAGAUACGGCCCAGACACCUACGGGAGGCAGCAGGGGGGAAUAUUGCACAAUGGGCGGAAGCCUGAUGCAGCAACGCCGCGUGCGGGAUGACGGCCUUCGGGUUGUAAACCGCUUUCGCCUGUGACGAAGCGUGAGUGACGGUAAUGGGUAAAGAAGCACCGGCUAACUACGC
rnacentral:rRNA from 1 species